UGAGGAAUAUUGCACAAUGGAGGAAACUCUGAUGCAGCAACGCCGCGUGGAGGAUGACGCAUUUCGGUGUGUAAACUCCUUUUAUAGCUCAUGAAUAAGCACCGGCUAACUCCGUGCCAGCAGCCGCGGUAAUACGGAGGGUGCAAGCGUUAUUCGGAAUCACUGGGCGUAAAGGACGCGUAGGCGGGAAGCCAAGUCUGAUGUGAAAUCCUAUGGCUUAACCAUAGAACUGCAUUGGAAACUGGUUACCUAGAGUAUGGGAGGGGGAGAUGGAAUUAGUGGUGUAGGGGUAAAAUCCGUAGAUAUCACUAGGAAUACCGAAAGCGAAGGCGAUCUCCUGGAACAAUACUGACGCUAAGGCGUGAAAGCGUGGGGAGCAAACG
rnacentral:rRNA from 1 species